rnacentral:rRNA from 1 species
GAUGAACGCUGGCGGCGUGCUUAACACAUGCAAGUCGAACGGAAAGACGAUGCUUUUGCGGGGUGCUCGAGUGGCGAACGGGUGAGUAACACGUGAGUAAACUGCCCUUGACAUUGGGAUAAAUUCAGGAAACUGGGGCUAAUACCGGAUAGGAGCUCCUGCUGCACGGUGGGGGUUGGAAAGUUUCGGCGGUGGGGGAUGGACUCGCGGCUUAUCAGCUUGUUGGUGGGGUAGUGGCUUACCACGGCUUUGACGGGUAGCCCGCCUGAGAGGGUGACCGGCCACAUUGGGCCUGCGAGACGGCCCAGACUCCUACGUUCGGCAGUAGUCGGGAAUAUUGCAGAACGGGCCGACGCCUGAUGCAGCAACGCUCCGUGCGUGAUGCCGGCUUUCGGGUUGUAAACCUCUGUCGCCUGUGACGAAGCCUGAGUGACGGUAAUGGGUAAAAAAGCACCGGCUAACUACGUG